rnacentral:lncRNA from 1 species
AAGUCUACUUUGGCAGCCCACUGUAAGCCUUCUUACAUUAUAUAAAGCCUUCUUCUCAUAUAGCACACACUGUUAUACACAUUGAGAGUCGUGUUGUGUGCGUUUGCCCGGACUUCGGUCCGUAGUUUUUAUUUCUGUCUGUAUAUAUAUACUUAUAUAUAUGUAUAUAUUUCAUAUAUGGACUAACAUUAUCGAUUUAUGC